rnacentral:rRNA from 1 species
AAACCAACAGGGAUUGCCCCAGUAGCGGCGAGUGAAGCGGCAAGAGCUCAGAUUUGAAAUCGUGUUUCGGCACGAGUUGUAGAGUGUAGGCGGGAGUGUCUGCGGCGGGCAGUGUCCAAGUCCCUUGGAACAGGGCGCCACUGAGGGUGAGAGCCCCGUGGGAUGCUGCGCAAAGCUUUGAGACCCUGCUGACGAGUCGAGUUGUUUGGGAAUGCAGCUCCAAGCGGGUGGUAAAUUCCAUCUAAGGCUAAAUACUGGCGAGAGACCGAUAGCGAACAAGUACUGUGAAGGAAAGAUGAAAAGCACUUUGAAAAGAGAGUGAAACAGCACGUGAAAUUGUUGAAAGGGAAGGGUAUUGGGCCCGACAUGGGGAGUGCGCACCGUUGCCUCUUGUAGGCGGCGCUCUGGGCGCUCUCUGGGCCAGCAUCGGUUCUUGCUGCAGGAGAAGGGGUGCCGGAACGUGGCUCUUCGGAGUGUUACAGCCGGGGCCAGAUGCUGCGUGCGGGGGACCGAGGGCUGCGACAUAUGUCUCGGAUGCUGGCACAACGGCGCAAUACCGC